AGUUUGUUUUUAUUUUAUUUUUUAACUGAACGUUAUUAAAAUACAUGACGGUAACGGAGCCACCGGAAUUUGUAGGACCAGCUAUAGCUAAAGCUUAGAGCUAAUCUGUUGAUACGAGACGUUCAGCAACAUUAAAAGCCUUCAUAAAAAUGUCACAAUUUUUGAUUUUAACCUACAUAUUAUUGUACUGUGCUGAUAGCCAUGUCCCUCACAAAUCCGAUCAAUUCAUUCUCAUGCAGUUUAUUACAAAUGAUUAGAACUGUCAAAGCUUAAUGCAGCUGAAGAAAUAACAUCAGUCCAGCUGUGCUGGGCUGUCAAUACUGCAAACGUUUUGUUUGAAUACUCAAUAGCGUAUAGUUAAUUUACAGUACAGUAUAAUAAGGUUUAAAGUAUAAUUCACUUGAAGAACAACACUGGCGUAAUUAUACAGAACAGUCAUUUUGCCUGUUGACAUUACAGAAAUAUGCUUUACAUGUCAUUUUGUUCUAGGCAGCAGGGAGCAUACAGAGGAGUUGAUAAAACUCCGUGGGCAAAAUAACCACCUCUUUACCGGGGCCAAAAAUACUGCCGCAGUCUGAUGAAGAACAAUCCUGCAAAAAAUGCAUCUGUUGACACAAAUUGUUUUCCUCUACUUUAUGAAUGCAAAGAUCCAGGGACAGGGCAGGGGGUCAGUGGGAAGCCUACUGCUGCCACCUGGCCAUGGUUUGUCCUCAUGUUCUGUGUUGCUGUUAUUGUUAAAUUAAAUUAUUAAAUUGUUUAUAAAAGUUA